GGCGGCGUGCUUAACACAUAGCAAGUCGAACGGGGUGGGUUCGUCCCGAGGAGUUGACGGUGCUUGCACCUGAUUGACUCAUUUGAAUCACUUAGUGGCGGACGGGUGAGUAACGCGUGGAAACCUGCCUCACACUGGGGGAUAGCAGUUGGAAACGACUGAUAAUACCGCAUAAGCGCACAGCACCGCAUGGUGCAGUGUGAAAAACUCCGGUGGUGUGAGAUGGUCCCGCGUCUGAUUAGCUAGUUGGUGAGGUAACGGCCCACCAAGGCGACGAUCAGUAGCCGGCCUGAGAGGGUGUACGGCCACAUUGGGACUGAGACACGGCCCAAACUCCUACGGGAGGCAGCAGUAGGGAAUAUUGGACAAUGGGGGAAACCCUGAAUCCAGCGACGCCGCGUGAGUGAAGAAGUAUUUCGGUACGUAAAGCUCUAUCAGCAGGGAAGAAAAUGACGGUACCUGACUAAGAAGCACCGGCUAAAUACGUGCCAGCCGCGGC
rnacentral:rRNA from 1 species